UGAACUCUGAUCACACGAUCACAACAGUUCAGCUAGUUUCUCAGAAGUCAGGGGCGGAGCAGAAAACUUGUUUAUUGUUUCACUUCUGUGCUCCAUGUAAUCCCACAUCUCCGACUUCAUUUUGUCCACAUGGACCAGUGAGCAGGCAUUGUAUCUUUUGAAAGAGUCAGCAGGAGAUGGAAGGAAACACAAAUAGAGAACUGGCAGAAGCCAUUGCUGAACUUGAGUCUGUAUACCAGAGAGCUUCUCGUCUAAGAUCUACUGAUGACCUUUUGAAAACAUCACACAACAAUAUGUACAGAUCUUGAAGAAAACUCAUAUUGUCUGAAAAAUAAACAGUAAAACUUUA